UCUCUGCUUGCGCAGGCAGUCUCUUUAGAGUCCCCACCUUGACGUGCUGGCAACUAAAGAUAGGGGUUGCGCUCGUUGCGGGACUUAACCCAACACCUCACGGCACGAGCUGACGACAACCAUGCACCACCUGUAUAGGACGCCGAAGCACACCACAUCUCUGUGGCUUUUCCCUAUAUUUCAAGCCCUGGUAAGGUUCUUCGCGUUGCGUCGAAUUAAGCCACAUGCUCCGCCGCUUGUGCGGGCCCCCGUCAAUUCCUUUGAGUUUCAACCUUGCGGCCGUAGUCCCCAGGCGGUUCACUUAAUGCGUUAGCUGCGGCACCGAGGGGAACCCCCGACACCUAGUGCCCAACGUUUACGGCGUGGACUAC
rnacentral:misc_RNA from 1 species